rnacentral:rRNA from 11 species
UAUGGAGCCCAAAUGCCCUAAAAACAUCAAGUCAUGUCUGAUUUUCGAAGUUAAGCAGGGGUCAGCUCUGGUUAGUACUUAGAUGGAAGAGCGACAACAGAAAGCAGUUGGCACUCUCC